AGCCACCACGCCUGGUGGUUUAUUUUUAUUUUAUGUGCCUUGGUGUUUUGCCUGCAUGUUUAUCUGUGUGAAGGUGUCAGAUACCCUGGAAUUGGAGUUACAGUCAGUUGUGAGCUGACAUAUGGAUACUAGAAAUUGAUCCUGGGUCCUGUUUUUAACUGCUGAGCCCUCUCUCCAGCCCUGAAAACAAUUUUUCUUAUUGAACUAUCUCACACCUUUUUAAAAACCUGCCAUUCUUUCUCCUCUGUAGUACUCCCCACCCCACCUUACCCCUCCCCCAAUUCCUGAGACCUUCAGGACUCAUAAUACUUCUGGCCUGGCAGCCUCCUAAAUAGCUUGGACUGCAGAGGCAGGUAAUCAUAGCUUCUAGGGUGUUUUCUUGUUUUGAGACAAGAGCUUGUCAUGUAGAUGGGAACUCAGCGUAUAGCACACACAGUCUUCAAAGCUGGAACCUUGUUGCCACAGACUCCCAACUGCUGGGAUUAUAGGCAUGUGCAACCAAGCCUGGUUAGUUUUUGUUUUGUUUUGUUUUUAUGAAAGAAAAUCCAAUAACCACCAGGCACAUAAGGAGUAAAGGAUCAAAACAAUUAACUAAAUUAACUGUAAAAGAGGAUGAUCUUUUUUUUUCACUGCAACAGAGUAAAUUAUAAUCAAGUAUAGUUUGAAAUAUGCAAGCACAUUUUACCAUAUAAUAAUAAAUUAUACAGUGAUAGUUUUGGUUGUUUCAGUAAAUGUACUAAUACCUUACAAUCAUGGUUAAAUAAUAGCAGUGACAGCAACAUUCUGUCUUGUUCCUGAUUAAGUGGGAAUAUCCCUAAUAUUUCCUAAGUACAAAACUAACUUUUGGUGUUAGACAGCAUGUUAAGAAAUUAUCCAUUUGUUCCUAUUUUUACUGAGUAUUUGCACUUGAAAAUAGGGUAAUGCAAAUUCUAUUGCAGACAAAUGAUAUAUAUAAAGUUCACUUUGCUAUGAUGCUUGUAACUACAAGAAACUGUGGUAAUUCUCAGUAACAGGGGUUAGUUAUUCAUCUUUUUAAACAUUCUGACUUGGAAAGCCUACUAAAAGUAAUAUAUAGGGUUUCCUUCUUUAUGUUAUAGCAGAAGUAAGUGUUUGUUUUAGCAUCCACCAAGUUUCUCAAUCUGGUUUUGUUGUUUUGAGACAGGACUUUGCAAUAGUAUCCCAGGCUAGAUACCUUGGCCUCCAGAGUGCUUGGCUUAUAGGCAUGCUUCACUAUACCUGCUUUCAACUGAUUCUGUAAACAUUCUUUCCCAUAGAAAUGGGAUGCUAUAUACUAAACAAUGGAAAUAUAUUGUGUUUUUAUAGCAUUCAUAUUAAUUUCACUAGUAGCUGAUACCUUUGCAGCCUUCAACUGUAGCAGUUAACACCGAUUCUAAAACUAGAGGCCACUACUGAUGAAGAAUCAGCUACUAUUUAGAAAUAUGGCCAUUAUUUGUUACAAGUUUGUGAACUAAUUAAAUUUACUUCUGCGUAUUCAUCAUUUUUUGGUGUGAAACUCUAUACUGAUGAGUCUUUGCUUUCUAAGAACAGCACUAGUUUUAUCUAUUGCUCCAGAAGAUGUAGAACAAAUAUAUUUUGGCAUCAAUGAGGUAAAAAGUACAUUUGUACUUUCAUGUUACUGAAAAUAAUUAUCUAGAAGUUAAGAAAUUAAACUCAAGAAAGCAGCUGGCUAAUUAAUAGCUCAUCUGAUCAAUCAGAAAACAUCAUCCAAUAAAAAAAAUAGAAAAUGUUCUAAAACUGAAGAAUAAAUGUUUAAUUUCAGAAUAUAAGACUAAAACCCACAAUGUUUUUAGGAAAAAGAUAAAAGAGCUGAGGAAUAAGAAAUGUCUUUGAAUUUCUUUACAGCAGUAAACUUCGACCUUAGAGAGAGGCCUGUCAAUAACAAUAACAUUUUCAUACCUGUAUGGUCUCAGGUUUUACCUCUCAUGAUAUACUACAUAAAAAUGAAGCAUUAAGUCAAAAAAGAGUACAGAGAGCUGGGUUCUAGGAGAGAUACAGUCUAAGACAGAGAGGAGAUAUGGAGGUUUAGGGCAAUGGUUAAGGAGGGGUCCUAGUAGCAGGGUUGAACUACAUUCCCUAUGAGUGGUGAGGCUUCUAAGACGUCCCGCCCCCCCCCCCAAAAAAAAAAAACCCACAGGCAUUUGCCAUGCUAUUGGCUGUCUACCCUAUUGAUAAGAUAUCGCACACUGUAAAAAACCAAACUACAAACCAGAAUGGAAAACUGGUCAAAGUGCUGAGAUUAUGAGACUGUUAAAUGCUAUCUAGUGAGAAGACAACACAGAAUGUAGUCAGGCAGUGGUGGUACAUUCCUUUAAUCUCAGCACCUGGGAAGCAGAUCUCUGUGAAUUCAAGGCCAGCCUGAGAAACCCUGUCUUGAAAAACAAAAAGGAAAAAUAGAAAAAAGAAAAUGCUUGAAUCUCACCGAAAUACAACUUUAUGGGAGCUCUAACCAAGAGCUUGCCUCACGACAGUGCUGAAGAUACACUGAGAAGAGCAUACUUACAUAUUUCUGUUCAACAGUAAACUCAGACUUAAAAGAAAAAAAAA